rnacentral:lncRNA from 1 species
GAAGAGCACUGGCUUUGAAGUCAAUGGUUUGAAUCCUGUCUUUGCCACUUAGUAGCUGUGUGACACUUUGCAAAUCACCUUGUCUCUCUGGGCUUCAGGCUCCACAUAUGUGAAACAAGGAGUCUGGACGAGGUGACUUUGAAGGUAACUCCCAUCAUUAAAAUCCUUGGAUCAUAAAUCAGAAGGCAUUGGAAGAGAUUCUAGAGAUGAACCGCCUUAAUUUACCGCUGUGGAAGCUGGAGCCCAAAGGCAUUAUGACACAACUGAUAUGCCCGAAUCAGAGGUUGCAGGAUUCUGACAGAAGUAACCACGUAACUGUGAAGUCCACUCUUGACAAAAAAUGAAAACAUCUUAUGGAAGUUAUCCAUGGAAUGGGAAGGCAAGCUGGAUGUAGUUACUUGAUUUGUGGUGCUGCAAAAGGAUCCCAUACAGAAAUGAGUGAAAGCCAUCUGAAACCCGGCCGUGUGGGAUCUAGUGUUCUCGGUUGGCUCUUUCGUUAGGCCUCGGUAUUUCCAUGUGUUGUAAUAUGUGUGCCAGGCUGCACUGUAUACUGACUGAGGUCUUGGCCACGGAAAUCACAGUUGUGCCUAAUUGUUUUACAGG